rnacentral:rRNA from 1 species
UACGGGGGGGGCAAGCGUUGUUCGGAAUUACUGGGCGUAAAGGGCUCGUAGGUGGCCAACUAAGUCCGACGUGAAAUCCCUCGGCUUAACCGGGGAACUGCGUCUGAUACUGGAUGGCUGGAGUAUGGGAGAGGGACGCGGAAUUCCAGGUGUAGCGGUGAAAUGCGUAGAUAUCUUGAGGAACACCGGUGGCGAAGGCGGCGUCCUGGACCAUUACUGACACUGAGGAACGAAAGCCAGGGGAGCAAACGGG